rnacentral:rRNA from 1 species
ACUCAAAUGAAUAGACGGGGGCUCACACAAGCGGUGGAGCAUGUGGCUCAAUUCGAAGCAACGCGAAGAACCUUACCUGGGUUUGACAUGCAUGGAUUAACUCCCGGAAACGGGAGCCACAAUCGCAAGAUCGGAACAUGCACAGGUGCUGCAUGGCUGUCGUCAGCUCGUGCUGUGAAGCGUCGGGUUAAGUCCUCUAACGAGCGCAACCCCUGCCGCUAGUUACCAUCGGGUUAUGCCGGGGACUCUAGCGGGACUGCCGGUGUCAAACCGGAGGAAGGCGGGGAUGACGUCAAGUCCUCAUGGCCCUUACAUCCAGGGUUGCACACGUGCUACAAUGGUGCAUACAAAGCGACGCGAGACCGCGAGGUGGAGCAAAUCGCAAAAAAUGCACCCCAGUUCGGAUUGCAGGCUGAAACCCGCCUGCAUGAAGCCGGAAUCGCUAGUAAUCGGGGAUCAGCUACGCCCCGGUGAAUGUGUUCCUGAGCCUUGUACACACCGCCCGU